rnacentral:rRNA from 1 species
AUUGAACGCUGGCGGCAGGCCUAACACAUGCAAGUCGAGCGGAUGAGAGAAGCUUGCUUCUCGAUUCAGCGGCGGACGGGUGAGUAAUGCCUAGGAAUCUGCCUGGUAGUGGGGGACAACGUUUCGAAAGGAACGCUAAUACCGCAUACGUCCUACGGGAGAAAGCAGGGGACCUUCGGGCCUUGCGCUAUCAGAUGAGCCUAGGUCGGAUUAGCUAGUUGGUGAGGUAAUGGCUCACCAAGGCGACGAUCCGUAACUGGUCUGAGAGGAUGAUCAGUCACACUGGAACUGAGACACGGUCCAGACUCCUACGGGAGGCGGCAGUGGGGAAUAUUGGACAAUGGGCGAAAGCCUGAUCCAGCCAUGCCGCGUGUGUGAAGAAGGUCUUCGGAUUGUAAAGCACUUUAAGUUGGGAGGAAGGGUUGUAGAUUAAUACUCUGCAAUUUUGACGUUACCGACAGAAUAAGCACCGGCUAACUCUGAGCCAGCCGCCGCCGUAAGAC